GAAAGGUUAGAAUCCAGUAGCACGCCCCAGUCCAGCAGGUGGCGGUAAUGCACUAUUAAAGUUAGUUGCCAACCGCCAAAAAAUUGAAAGAAGAAGAAGAAGAGUGUCUAAUCGCCGUUUAGUUUUGGGGACGUUUCGAGAGGCAGUUUAAAGGCGAUGUUUCAACAUUUCAGAGCUCGCUGCUCUAAAACCUUCACUAUUUGGAGAAAAAUCCUGGAAUGUUUUCCUCUAAAACCUUAAUUUCUUUGCGACUGAAAACAGAAAGGCAUAAACAUCUUGGAUGAGAUGGGGAGUCAGCGAUAGGUGGGCUUGACGUACUCGGGUGGGAAAAAGCCCACACGGCCGCGACAACAACCUUUCCAGCGCUGAGAAUCAGAGCAGUCCAGCAGUUCUAUGACAUCACCCCGCAGGAAGUGCAGCUGGGAGUCGUGCUCUGGACUGAAGUCAAACAGGGCUUGUGCUUCAUGGGGCCUCUGAAGGGAAACAAUAACAGACAAAGAUAAACAGUCCUUUCCCUUGCUAUGCUGUUGGUCUUGUAGAAGUCCACCAGCUGGUUUAAGGAAGGAAAGAUCUCCUCCCAAACAUAGUAAUAGCCAUCUCUGUCUUUUAACACCUUGAAAUGCUGUACAUGAUCCCCA